GACAACAAGAGAAACAUCCAGAAGAUAGAGGAGAGGGGUUGAAUACAUUGUGCCAAUGAUAGAAAGCAAGCCUACCAGCUGGAGAACAAAUAAGCUGAUAAGACUCCUGGAAAAAAAUAACAAAUGCAAGAAAACAUCUGGAGAUGAGGUGCACACAAAGCCAAGCAUUCAUGUCGAUCAAGCCCCUGGAUGGCAAUUGAGCCUCUGAUCCUCCUUUUAACUUGAUGUUUUGAUGACCUGAAGACAUCCAAAGAAGAAAGUGCUGUUCCAGGAAAAGAACUGGACCAAAUUCAAAAGUUAAUGCUGGAGAAGAAACAAGGAAGUUGAAGUAAACAACAUUAAGGAAGGAAAGACUUCACUGAAAAACCACAGUGGUCAUAAAAGCAUCCAGACAGCUACAAUCUUACUUGGGACCAUGCUACAGUACUGUGAAAAAAAAAUAUUUCAUUAAAAGCUCUACAAAAGAUACUUGCUAACAAUAAGAAAGAACAUAUUUUCACAGAAUUGGAGAAUUCUGCAGAGUAUAAAACACCUUUGCUAAGCUAGGACAAUAUUUUCCCUUUUUAUUCAGAUGUGAAGCUUCCUUCUGCCAAAAAGAAAAUCAGUAUGUAUUACACUCAAGUGGAGGCUUAAUCUUUCCAGCCCUUGGUAAGCACUGAAGGACUCCAGGCAUGCAUCACACAGACCUAGAAUUUUCGUCAUUUUGGCCUCAGAACAAGGCUGAUUUGAUUUUACAGGCAAAGAACAGACAGCAACAUCAAAUCCUCCAUAAGGCAUUCAUUAACAUUAAAAAAAAAAUUGCAGUGUUGCCUGCUAAAGAUAUGAAAUACAGACAUAUGUAAAACAACAGAUUUUAGCAUUAGAAAGAAAAUUUCAGUUCUUGAAAGGACUUAGCAGAGAUUUUUAAUCUCCUUUGGUGACAUGGAUCCUUUUUGGAUUAUACUGUUUUCCAAAUUGAUAAAAUAGGUAAGAUUUCAAAAGGAAACCAAUUAUAUUGAAAUAGAUAUAAAAAUGUUUAAAAACAUGUUUACACACCUGUGUUAAGAACUUCCAUAUAAGUGAUUUUAUCCAACAAAAUCUAUUUGCAUGUUCGACUAAAUUUUGAUUCUCUAGUCUUACAAUAUUUUCCUAUCCUGUUUCAGGUAUAACAUCACUUGAUGAUGUUAAGACUUUUGCCCAGACUGAAGGGAGCUCAUUUUACACCUAAACCAAAUUACACUCCAGUUAUAAUCCAGGCUUCCAGUCUGCCAGGGCUUCCGGUGAAGUGGGAGGGUGGCAGGGUUCACUUACGGAACACCUUAUUUUACCGCUGCUAUAGAGCAAAGGAAACCUCUCUGAGAAAGGGAACCAUUUACAGAACCAAAUGACAGCAUGUUAUUAACAUUAAAAAGUCCAGAGGAAACACUGACAACUUUAACACAACCCAUGCACUUCAUUACAAAGAAAAAGGGCACCCAAAAGAAAAGAUCCCUGUACUUUAAGUCAAUAAUGAGACAUGACCCUGACAGAACUCACAAGUCAGACAGAUAAAAGUUUAAAUUGAAAAUAUUCAUCUGGCUGUUAAACUGAUGCCUUUUUCUGUAAAUGCUUUAUACUAAGCUCAUUAUUAAAGAACAGUUUGCAACAAAGUCUAGCAGAAAGAACAUUAGGACUUCCUGGAAGGCAACAGGCCUGGGUUCUGUCCCAGUGGACUUGUGGAGGGGCCCACAGAUCACUUGACCUCUUGGUCUCAGCCUUCGUAUCAUCUGUGAAAUGAGAAUAAUACUUGCCAUCUGCAACACAAAGGACCUGUAAAAGCCUAAAUCAAAGUCCUUAGGAAGUACUUUGAAUUCUUCAGAAGGUUUUAUAGGUUUUAUAAAUUACAAAGCCUUAUGUCAAAGAAUGCCAUUCAUAAAUUCCUGUUACAACAAUAGGAAUUUCACAUGUAGGAUAAUAUUUGGGCCCUAGCAUUGAACGUUCAUUUUCACUUAAAUAAUAGAAUUUUCCCUCUACCUAGAUGCCAUAAAUAGGUAGCCUUGACAAAGACUGACAUCUCCUAUUCAGAUCACUACAUAGUACUUCUGAUGUUCUUUCUUACCUUAAUCAGCUGAAUAUUAUUAUUAAUUUCUUACCUUAUUCAGCUGAAAUUCAGAUGAAGUUUCCUUCAUCUAAAAGUGAAAAGUACCUCUCUCUUAGGAAUUGCUAGAAAGGAGUCUUCUUGAAAGAAAGGACUGCAUUCUCAUGAAGGAUUUAUGAAUCAGUGUGUUUUGACCUCUUGUUCAGGCCUAGGUCAAAUCUAAGUCAACUAAAUACAGCUGUCAAAAUCCAACAGUUCUAACCUAAUACAUUGUUGGUGGAGCUGUGAAAUGAUCCAGCCAUUUUGGAGAACAAUUUGAAACUA